rnacentral:rRNA from 1 species
AGUGAACGCUGGCGGCGUGCCUAAUACAUGCAAGUCGAACGAUGAAGUCCUAGCUUGCUAGGAUGGAUUAGUGGCGCACGGGUGAGUAAUAUAUAGUUAAUCUGCCCUACACAGAGGAACAACAGUUGGAAACGACUGCUAAUACCUCAUACUACUAUUUGGCAUAAGUUAAAUAGGGAAAGUCUUUUCGGUGUAGGAUGCGACUAUAUCGUAUCAGCUAGUUGGUAAGGUAAUGGCGUACAAAGGCUAUGAAGCGUAACUGGUCUGAGGGGAUGAGCAGUCGAAUUGGAACUGAGACACGGUCCAAACACCUACGGCAGUCAGCAGUAAGGUAUCGUGCGCAAGGGGGGUAACCCUGACGCAGCUUCGCCGCGUGGAGGAUUACACUUAUCGAAGCGUAAACUCCUUUUAUCAGGAAAGAAUAAUCACGGUACCUGAUGAAUAAGCACCGGCUAACUCCGUG